GCCACCCUUCCUCCCGGGCCUGGGAUCUCAUGCUGCAUUUUCUCAGGAAGUAUCAAGCACUCUGGGCCCAGACCAGCUCUUCCAAGGGAGCGCCAGGGUCCAUCUGGUCCAGUUUGGCCCCCACGGCAUCUUCGGCUUCAUCAUCCUCAGAGCAGAUGUGCUCAGCUCCUUUCUUCUCGGACCACCUGAAGCCAGCCCCCAGCUGCAAAGGCAUUAUCGGACCUCAGGCCCAAAGCAGCCCGGCCCCCAGGUCCCUGGCAUCAAUCCUCGUGUUCCAAACCCCGUGGUCUGCCUGGGGCUAGGGGACGUGAUCCUCUUCCAGCUUCAUAUUCUUCCCCACAACCGCUCGGCCAGCCACUACCCUGUGUACCAGAAGCAGCAUCUGUUCAACAGCAACCCCCACUGGGACUCCGGGGCCUUCCGCAGACUCAGCCACCUGGUGCGAGAGACGCACCUCAACUUCUCAAGGUUUGCCCACCAGUUCCUAGAUCCAGGCACAUACACGUUUCAAGACAAUGGGCAGCCAGAGAGUCUGGCCGUGGUGCUGGUGAAGGAGGAGGGGGUGGCCUGUGGUCCUGGCCUGUCCCCUGUGCAGCCCUCAUCCCCAUAUCAGCUGGGCAGGCAAGGCGUCCUCAGGCACAGGCUGCCAAACCUGGGCCCAGACUGGGCAGUGAUCACAG
rnacentral:lncRNA from 1 species